rnacentral:rRNA from 1 species
CCUACGGGGGGCUGCAGUCGAGAAUCAUUCACAAUGGGGGAAACCCUGAUGGUGCGACGCCGCGUGGGGGAAUGAAGGUCUUCGGAUUGUAAACCCCUGUCAUGUGGGAGCAAAUUAAAAAGAUAGUACCACAAGAGGAAGAGACGGCUAACUCUGUGCCAGCAGCCGCGGUAAUACAGAGGGCUCAAGCGUUGUUCGGAAGCACUGGGCGUAAAGGGUGCGUAGGCUGUUUCGUAAGGCGUGUGUGAAAGGCGCGGGCUCAACCCGCGGACGGCACAUGAUACUGCGAGACUAGAGUAAUGGAGAGGGAAGCGGAAUUCUCGGUGUAGCAGUGAAAUGCGUAGAUAUCGAGAGGAACACUCGUGGCGAAGGCGGGUUCCUGGACAUUAACUGACCCUGAGGCACGAAGGCCAGGGGAGCGAAAGGGAUUAGAUACCCCAGUAGUC